UAAGAAUCGUGGAGGUAGAGCACUGAUUGGGUGCGGGGCCCGCAAGGGUUACCAAGCUCAGUCAAACUCCGAAUGCCAUAGAUUUAGUUCCGGGAGUCAGACAGUGAGUGCUAAGAUCCAUUGUCGAAAGGGAAACAGCCCAGGACCAUCAGCUAAGGUCCCCAAGUGUGUGUUAAGUGGGAAAGGAUGUGGAGUUGCACAGACAACCAGGAUGUUGGCUUAGAAGCAGCCACCAUUGAAAGAGUGCGUAAUAGCUCACUGGUCGAGUGACUCUGCGCCGAAAAUGUAACGGGGCUAAACACACCACCGAAGCUAUGGCUUGAUGCUUGCAUCAGGGGUAGGGGAGCGUUGAAUGCGGGUUGAAGGUGUACCGGAAGGAGCGCUGGACUGCAUUCAAGUGAGAAUGCCGGUAUGAGUAACGAAAAGAUCUGUGAGAAUCAGAUCCGCCGAAAGCCUAAGGGUUCCUGAGGAAGGUUCGUCCGCUCAGGGUAAGUCGGGACCUAAGGCGAGGCCGAUAGGCGUAGUCGAAGGACAACAGGUAGAAAUUCCUGUACCACCGUAAUCCGUUAUGAGCGAUGGGGUGACGCAGUAGGGUAGUGACGCGGACUGAUGGAUGUCCGUCUAAGCAGUGAGGCUGAUGUGUAGGCAAAUCCGCACAUCGUAAGGCUGGGCUGUGAUGGGGAGCGAAAAUUACAGUAGCGAAGGUCAUGAUCUCAGACUGCCAAGAAAAGCCUCUAGCCAGGAGAAGGUGCCCGUACCGCAAACCGACACAGGUAGGCGAGAAGAGAAUUCUAAGGCGCGCGGAAGAACUCUCGUUAAGGAACUCGGCAAAAUGACCCCGUAACUUCGGGAGAAGGGGUGCCUCGGUAGGGUGAAUAGCCCGAGGGGGCCGCAGUGAAAAGGCCCAAGCGACUGUUUAGCAAAAACACAGGUCUGUGCGAAGCCGCAAGGCGAAGUAUACGGGCUGACGCCUGCCCGGUGCUGGAAGGUUAAGGGGAGUGGUAAGCUCGCAAGAGCGAAGCUAUGAACCGAAGCCCCAGUAAACGGCGGCCGUAACUAUAACGGUCCUAAGGUAGCGAAAUUCCUUGUCAGGUAAAUUCUGACCCGCACGAAUGGCGUAACGACUUGGGCGCUGUCUCAACGAGAGAUCCGGUGAAAUUUUAAUACCUGUGAAGAUGCAGGUUACCCGCGACAAGACGGAAAGACCCCAUGGAGCUUUACUGCAGCUUGAUAUUGAAUUUGGGUACGAUCUGUACAGGAUAGGUGGGAGCCGUAGAACUUUGAGCGCCAGCUUGAAGGGAGGCAUCCUUGGGAUACCACCCUGAUCGUAUCUAGGUUCUAACUUGGUACCGUGAUCCGGUACGAGGACAGUGUCAGGUGGGCAGUUUGACUGGGGCGGUCGCCUCCUAAAGAGUAACGGAGGCGCCCCAAGGUUCCCUCAGAAUGGUUGGAAAUCAUUCGAAGAGUGCAAAGGCAGAAGGGAGCUUGACUGCGAGACCUACAAGUCGAGCAGGGACGAAAGUCGGGCUUAGUGAUCCGGUGGUACCGCAUGGAAGGGCCAUCGCUCAACGGAUAAAAGCUACCCUGGGAUAACAGGCUAUCUCCCCAAGAGUCCACAUCGACGGGGAGGUUUGGCACCUCGAUGUCGGCUCAUCGCAUCCUGGGGCUGAAGUAGGUCCCAAGGGUUGGGCUGUUCCCAUUAAAGCGGUACGCGA
rnacentral:rRNA from 1 species